rnacentral:rRNA from 1 species
UACGAAGGGGGCAAGCGUUGUUCGGAAUUACUGGGCGUAAAGGGCGCGUAGGCGGCUUAUCAAGUCAGGCGUGAAAUUCCCGGGCUCAACCUGGGGGCUGCGCUUGAUACUGAUUGGCUUGAAUGCGGGAGAGGAUAGUGGAAUUCCCAGUGUAGAGGUGAAAUUCGUAGAUAUCAGGAGGAACACCGGUGGCGAAGGCGGGACUCUGGGCCGAUACUGACGCUGAGGAGCGAAAGCGUGGGGAGCAAACAGG